rnacentral:rRNA from 1 species
UACGAAGGGUGCAAGCGUUGUCCGGAUUUACUGGGCGUAAAGGGCGUGCAGGCGGUCUGUUAAGUGCAGGGUGAAAGCUCCCGGCUCAACUGGGAGAGGUCCUUGCAUACUGGCGGACUUGAGGGGGGUAGAGGGUAGUGGAAUUCCCGGUGUAGCGGUGAAAUGCGUAGAGAUCGGGAGGAACACCAGUGGCGAAGGCGGCUACCUGGACCAGCACUGACACUGAGGCACGAAAGCGUGGGGAGCAAACAGG